rnacentral:lncRNA from 1 species
GAAGAUCUCAAGAAUGAAGAACUUUCAUUAGGGUAUUUUUGUAAAACUCUUGUAUGGUUAAAUUCUUGAGCCUCUAAAAUGACCUUAAUAUCCUUCAUGCAUUUUAAGAAUACAAAAAUGUAUUAAAAUUUAAAGUUCUUAAAAAUGUGCUAGCAAUAAUUCUUAUCUUUGAAAAUUUAAUUACAAUUUUAAAAAAUGGG